rnacentral:siRNA from 1 species
GUAGUACUAGGAUGGGUGACCUC